rnacentral:rRNA from 2 species
GGAUGCGAUCAUACCAGCACUAAAGCAUCGGAUCCCAUCAGAACUCCGAAGUUAAGCGUGCUUGGGGGAGAGUAGUACUAGGAUGGGUGACCUCUUGGGAAGUCCUCGUGUUGCAUUCC